rnacentral:rRNA from 1 species
AUUGAACGCUGGCGGCAGGCCUAACACAUGCAAGUCGAGCGGAUCGGCGGACGGGUGAGUAAUACCUAGGAAUCUGCCUGGUAGUGGGGGAUAACGUCCGGAAACGGGCGCUAAUACCGCAUCCUAUCAGCUUAGCCUAGGUCGGAUUAGCUAGUUGGUGGGGUAAAGGCCUACAAAGGCGACGAUCCGUAACUGGUCUGAGAGGAUGAUCAGUCACACUGAGACUGAGACACGGUCCAGACUCCUACGGGAGUCAGCAGGGGGGAAUAUUGGACAAUGGGCGAAAGCCGGAUCCAGCCAUGCCUGUUGUGUGAAGAAGGUCUUCGGAUUGUAAAGCACUUUAAGUUGGGAGGCGUUACCAACAGAAUAAGCACCGGCUAACUUCGUGCCAGCAGCCGCGGUAAUAC